rnacentral:misc_RNA from 1 species
UUAAGUUCAGCGGGUAUUCCUACCUGAUCCGAGGUCAACCUUGAUAAAUUAGUUGUUUAACGGCAAGAACCCGCCAUCAUUCCAGAGCGAAGAUAAACUACUGCACUCGGUAUGACAACGAGCCCGCCACUGCAUUUCGGGGGCUGCGGUAGCCGCAGGGCCCCAACACAAGCCUAGGGCUUGAUGGUUGAAAUGACGCU